AUUGGGUAGGGGAGCGUUCUGUAAGCCGUUGAAGGUGUGUUGUAAAGCAUGCUGGAGGUAUCAGAAGUGCGAAUGCUGACAUGAGUAACGACAAGGGGGGUGAAAAACCUCCCCGCCGGAAGACCAAGGGUUCCUGUCCAACGUUAAUCGGGGCAGGGUGAGUCGACCCCUAAGGCGAGGCCGAAAGGCGUAGUCGAUGGGAAACGGGUUAAUAUUCCCGUACUCGAUCAAAUUGCGAUGGGGGGACGGAGAAGGCUAGGUGGGCCUGGCGACGGUUGUCCAGGUUCAAGUGCGUAGGCUGAGUGUUUAGGUAAAUCCGGACACUCGAUAGGCUGAGACACGACGUCGAGCUGCUACGGCAGUGAAGUCAUUGAUGCCAUGCUUCCAGGAAAAGCCUCUAAGCUUCAGAUUUGAUGGAAUCGUACCCCAAACCGACACAGGUGGUCGGGUAGAGAAUACCAAGGCGCUUGAGAGAACUCGGGUGAAGGAACUAGGCAAAAUGGUACCGUAACUUCGGGAGAAGGUACGCUCUUGAUGGUGAAGUCCCUCGCGGAUGGAGCUGACGAGAGUCGCAGAUACCAGGUGGCUGCAACUGUUUAUUAAAAACACAGCACUGUGCAAAAUCG
rnacentral:rRNA from 1 species